GUUUUUGCGAUCAAAUACUAAACCUCUGAAGAUUCCAAGAGUUAGCAAAAUAUCUGCGGGUGGGGAGGCAAGGAACGCUGAAGAGCAUAGUGCUGAACUGAACAAAGACAACAAAGACAAAGAAAUAUACUGUUUCGAUGUUACAAGGGGCAUGAAAUGCAAAUUCAAGCUAAACCCAAAGAUGAGUCUCAAAUCUGAAGAAAUUCAGGGCGCUGCAUUCAUAUUUUCUGCAGAGCUAGAUGCAGGAGAAAAGCUUCUUAAGAUAGGAGAUGUGACUGCAACUAGGAAGGAUUUUGAGUCGCUCUGUCCAACACAAAAAAUAAGUGAGAAGAUAUUGU